rnacentral:rRNA from 1 species
CUACGGGGGGCAGCAGUGGGGAAUAUUGGACAAUGGGCGAAAGCCUGAUCCAGCCAUGCCGCGUGUGUGAAGAAGGCCUUCGGGUUGUAAAGCACUUUCAGUGGGGAAGAAAGCCUUGGGGCUAAUACCCUCGAGGAAGGACAUCACCCACAGAAGAAGCACCGGCUAACUCCGUGCCAGCAGCCGCGGUAAUACGGAGGGUGUGAGCGUUAAUCGGAAUUACUGGGCGUAAAGCGCGCGUAGGCGGUCUGAUAAGCCGGUUGUGAAAGCCCCGGGCUCAACCUGGGAACGGCAUCCGGAACUGUCAGGCUAGAGUGCAGGAGAGGAAGGUAGAAUUCCCGGUGUAGCGGUGAAAUGCGUAGAGAUCGGGAGGAAUACCAGUGGCGAAGGCGGCCUUCUGGACUGACACUGACGCUGAGGUGCGAAAGCGUGGGUAGCAAACAGGAUUAGAUACCCGAGUAGUC